GGAAGAAUUGUUUGGGAAAACAAUGAGCUAAAAGUUGUUCCAGGUGCUGGGAAGUACAUAGAGAUGCCAGCUUUUAAUUACUUGUUUGAUCGAAUUCACAAGGCAGAUGCUCAGUACCUGUCCUCGAUCCGUGCUCCGGUGAAACGUUUUCAGUCUUCAACUUAAACCUUCAAUCAUCAUAGUUUGUGAAAAACGGGUAGAACAGAUUAUGGAUAGUUGAUAUGGAUGGAAUAACUGAGAUUGCAUGGCCUGUAUCCGCCAUGUAGAUCUAUAGCAACAUCCUUUUAAGAUACUGGACAGGAUAUUAU
rnacentral:misc_RNA from 1 species